rnacentral:rRNA from 1 species
GAUGAACGCUGGCGGCUUGCCUAAUACAUGCAAGUCGAGCGAAGCGGGGACGGGUGAGGAACACGUGGAUAACCUCCUAUAAGACUGGGAUAACUUCGGGAAACCGGAGAUAAAACGGAUAAUUAUUGAUGGAUCCGUGAUGCAUUAGCUAGUUGUUAAGGUAACGGCUUACAAAGGCCACGAGUCAUAGCCGACCUGAGAUGGUGCUCGGCAACACUUGUACUGAGACACGGUCCAGACUCCUACGGGAGGCAGCAGUAGUGAAUCGUCCGCAAUGGGCGAAAGCCUGACGCAGCCACGCCGCGUGAGUGAGGAAGGUCUUCGGAUCGUAAAACUCUUUUAGUAGGGAAGCGGUACCUACGCAGAAAGCCACGGCUAACUACGUGCCAGCAGCCGCGGUAAUUC